rnacentral:rRNA from 1 species
GAUGAACGCUAGCGGCAGGCUUAACACAUGCAAGUCGAGGGGUAUAGUAGCAAUACUAGAGACCGGCGCACGGGUGCGUAACGCGUAUGCAAUCUACCUUUUUACAGAGGGAUAGCCCAGAGAAAUUUGGAUUAAUACCUCAUGGUAUAAUGACUCGGCAUCGAGAUAUUAUUAAAGUCACAACGGUAAAAGAUGAGCAUGCGUCCCAUUAGCUAGUUGGUAAGGUAACGGCUUACCAAGGCUACGAUGGGUAGGGUCCUGAGAGGGAGAUCCCCCACACUGGUACUGAGACACGGACCAGACUCCUACGGGAGGCAGCAGUGAGGAAUAUUGGACAAUGGGCGCAAGCCUGAUCCAGCCAUGCCGCGUGCAGGAUGACGGUCCU